AAUCAUCGGUUCGCGUACGAUCACCGAAGUUAAACAACGCCGGGCCUGGUCAGUACCUAGAUGGGUAACCGCAUGGGAGUAUCACGUGCUGUAAG